rnacentral:tRNA from 1 species
GGUGUUGUGGCUCAGUGGCAGAGAAUUGCCUUUGCACAUGUGAGGCACUGGGUUCGAUCCUCAGCACCA